GUGAUGUGUGUAAUCUCCCCAAGCCCCUCUCUCUCCCCGGCUCCCAUAGCUCUAUAUCCCCCCUGCUGUUGCCCAAUCUCCCCCAUGCGAUACAGUAAAACCGAUUCAUCACGUUCCGGGCUGCCCCCGAGCCCAACAGCAAUGCAGCACUGACCUGGAUUAUACCAAUGUGCUCCCCCAGCCCUCCCGCAGUCUCUCUCCCCCGAUUUACCUUUACUGACUGCGGUGCGGACUCCACGGACCAGACAUCCCGCAGCUCUAGCUGCAUCUCUGUCACUCUGUCACCCGCUGGCCAGCAACGCUCUAUUCCUCUGCCAUUGGGCAGCACAACAAAGAGGGGCGGGGGCAGCGCAAUGGGAUUGGCUGCGCCUGUCCUGUGUGGGCGGGGCUUGUCGGCAAUAAAUAAAGAGGCAGGAUGGGUCUGUGAGGCAGUUUGUGUCUGUGUGGGAGCGGGUGGGAGUAGUUUGGUGUCACUGUCUGUCCACGGGGUCUUUCCAUCGAAUUCCGGGGGAUGAAUGGUGUGCUCUACUGAAAACUUCUAGCAAAUCCAGAACGGAUUCCCCUGCUAACUGACCCUGAGAAGAAGAAAGCAAAAAUGUGUAGCAAAGCUGAACUGGAGUUUGGACAGCCAAGAGAAUAAGGUGGGACCAUGGGAACGGCACCUAUAGAGAUUGGUCCCCCUCUUCAGAGGGCAGAAAUGAUCCAUAAACAACAGUAAAUGCAGGAUUUCAAUGUCCGACAAAAGCUGGUGACAGUCUCCCACUGAAAAUCGUCCGAUCGGCAAUACAUGCAGAGAUAUUAUCGGCAGCCAACGGAAAUCUUUUAACCAUGGGCGAAAAAUGUUGGAACUCUCCACACACGGUCCGAAAAUUUGCGUCUAUGGCCAGCUUGGCCAGACUUUCAAAGUCCCAAGCUCCUAUCCAUAUAUGCUUGGAAAACUACCAUCAGAAGGGGCAGACAGAUGUUUUGUCCUGGUCCAAGUAAGUGUCUGGACCACCAGUAGGAUGAGACAGGCAGGUGUCUUAGUUCCAGUGAGGGUCAAGCUGAAGGCACAAUAUCAUGAGGCAACAGGCAAGUGCCUGUCCUGGUCACAGUGAGGGACUGAAACAACAACUGGAUUGAACAGGCAGUUGCCUUGUCCUGUUUCUAGUAAGGACCAGGCUGCAGGGUCACUGGCUGGAGUGGAAAGGAAUGUGUCUUGUCCCAGUAAGGGGUCUAGUUUACUGUGAAAUAGGUAGGGCUUGGUAAAACAUGAAGUCCUUUCUGAUUGCUCCAUACCAUAGACCUAUACAUACACAAUGCACAUAGGUGAAGAUAUUUUUUAUCAAGGAAACUUGUGUGAGAGACUUGCAGAAUAUGCAACAUGGAUCAGAAUCUCACCCAACCAAAAUGAUUAUUACACCUUGGUCCAUAGGGCUAAAUUUUAAAUUAAAAAAAUUGCAGAAGAGUUCAUUACUAGCCUUAUGGGUAUAGAAGAAUGAUUCAAUGUAGCACCAUCUACUGGCUGAGGGUGAUAUAGCUGUAAAUGUAUUCUCUUGCAUGACUGCAGGGGUGAAAUUACCCACAAUUCUCUGGGCUAUUGUACUGCAGUAUUUCCAAUACCACACAGCUGAGGGGGCUUGAAUAGUCCAAAAGCCACUGCUGUACUGUAAUUGUUAACCAUGAAUUGAUUCUAUGAACUAAAGGCAUUUUAUAUUUA